UAUUAAUGCCCUUCUUAAGGUCCUCUACCAGCAUCAUGAGAUAUGAUUUUGAAUCUGAAUCUUGCUUUUCGGGUGUGUUGGGGUAUCCAGGACUGGCUGAGGUGGGAGUGCUGUGUUCUGAUGAUGGGAAAACAGUGGAAAACCAGGCACCUGAAAUUAUCACCCUCCUCACAUCAACUAUCUCAGGAACAAGGGCAGUGAAAGAAUACAAAUCGAGCCAGCCUUCUCCUCACUUAGGCCUCGGGACAAGCAGACUGGAUGGUGCGCUGGCUGCUCCUCUUUGGUGACAGGAACUGGGCAGUUGAAAGACUUCAGCCUCAUCACAAGUGAAGGAAGAAUUGAAGCCAUGCUCUGGUGGUCAUUUCCAAAUCAAGCUGGAUUUUGUUUGACUAUGAACUUAAAGGAAGGGGAAGUGAGCGCCACCCCAGCGUUGGCAACAGGGUGUUGUUUUCCAGAACCAGGUCUGAUUAACUUCCGGGAACUUCCAGGAACUCAGGCCAGUCACAUUUUCUAAGUCGCCCUUGGGUACUUGUGGUCCCGGAUUUCCUUGGCCAAAUGACCAACGGUGCAUUUCUAGGGCUUCCCCGGGCUUCUUUCUAGGGUGUGUGCCUUGUGGGUGGGGGUGGGGGAUGUAAAUCUUAUACAGCUCUUAGGCUUCAAGCGUGACCAGGGUCUUUACUUUGCAGGCUGAGAAUUUUGUGUCAUUUUGGACCUUAGAGCUUGUCAUGAAGGCAGAUAACACAGGACAUAUAUUAGUUGAUAUAUAGUUGUGUGACGUUAAAUUUUUACCCAAGGCCCCCAUGUGUUAAUGGAGACCCUGGAGAGAAGAUACAUUUGUAACUUUGGGCUGAUGAGUGAAGUCAGAAAGAAUCAAUUCAGGAGUCCUUUCUUCUGCACACACUUGACUUUUGAAUGUUUUAGUUACUUAUAACCAAGCAAGGUCCAAAACUAUUGGGUGAAAACUUCAGGAAGUAAACAAUGAGUUCAUAUAUUUUAAAAAAAAAUUUCUAUCACCGC
ensembl:lincRNA Gm3331 predicted gene 3331